CCCCUCUCAGGGUUGCACCUGGAGAGUUUCCAGUUCUCUACCAGUCUCGGCUACGGGAGGGAGAGUCAAGCAGAGGCCUACUCAUUCUAUCCCUAGCUUGGGUAGUGGUUAGAGAGUGGAAGGCAAUCUGCUAAAAGU
rnacentral:snoRNA from 1 species